GGCGAGAGACCGAUAGCGAACAAGUACCGUGAGGGAAAGAUGAAAAGAACUUUGAAAAGAGAGUUAAACAGUACGUGAAAUUGUUGAAAGGGAAACGAUUGAAGUCAGUCAUACCAACGGGAAAUCAACCUNUUGAGUCUGUCCUCGUGGGUUUCGAGGAGUUUAAAAGCCUUCGGAUUNGCUAGGAGUGGGCUCUUUUGGUGUACUUUCUCGNACGAUUAGUCAACAUCGGUUUUGAAUGUCAUAAAUGC
rnacentral:rRNA from 1 species